GACGAACGCUGGCGGCGUGCCUAACACAUGCAAGUCGAACGGAAAGGCCCUGCUUUUGCGGGGUGCUCGAGUGGCGAACGGGUGAGUAACACGUGAGUAACCUGCCCUUGACUGUGGGAUAACUUCAGGAAACUGGGGCUAAUACCGGAUAGGAGCUCCUGCUGCAUGGUGGGGGUUGGAAAGUUUCGGCGGUUGUGGAUGGACUCGCGGCUUACCAGCUUGUUGGUGGGGUAGUUGCUUACCAAGCCUUCGACGGGUAGCCCGCCUGGGAGGGUGGCCAGCCACCUUGGGCCUACGGGACGGCCCAGACUCCAACGGGAGGCAACGGGCGAGAGUAUUACACAGUGGGCCGACGCCUGAUGCAGCGGCGCCGCGUGCGUAAAGACGGCCUUCGGGUUAUAAACCGCUUUCGCCUGUGACGAAGCGUGAGUGACGGUAAUGGGUAAAGAAGCACCGGCUAACUACGUG
rnacentral:rRNA from 1 species